UGGCGGCAUGCUUUACACAUGCAAGUCGGACGGCAGCGGGGUACUUCGGUCCGCCGGCGAGUGGCGAACGGGUGAGUAAUGCAUCGGAACGUGCCUAUCAGUGGGGGAUAACGCUUCGAAAGGAGUGCUAAUACCGCAUAUUCUCCGAGGAGGAAAGCAGGGGACCUUCGGGCCUUGCGCUGAUAGAGCGGCCGAUGUCGGAUUAGCUAGUUGGCGGGGUAAAGGCCCACCAAGGCGACGAUCCGUAGCUGGUCUGAGAGGAUGAUCAGCCACACUGGAACUGAGACACGGUCCAGACUCCUACGGGAGGCAGCAGUGGGGAAUAUUGGACAAUGGGCGCAAGCCUGAUCCAGCAAUGCCGCGUGUGUGAAGAAGGCCUUCGGGUUGUAAAGCAC
rnacentral:rRNA from 1 species